GUUCUUAUAAACUAAGUUUACGCGACCAACUUCUUUUACCGGUUAACGGCUUUAUGACAUACGGAGAAGUCUUACUUAAUACGUUCAUCAUCUUUGAUGAUUUACAUUCUUAUCUUCUUUUUAUAACUCUCCUAGGACUCAGCACACAUCGUGUCUCUACUACUAGUCCAUAUGGUACUAUGAGUGGUUUCCCACAAACAACCAACAAACAAGUUCUCGUCUCAUCUACACUGCCCAUAACAGCGAUUUAGAUCGGUUGUCAGUUUUGUAUAUACCAUCGCUCUCUGAAGGAAUUGUUUAGCCCAGCUCCCAUAUGUCAACAUCAAAG
rnacentral:lncRNA from 1 species